rnacentral:tRNA from 1 species
GGCGGUGUGGCGCAAUGGUAGCGUGUGGUCCUCCUAUUCUUCCUCGUAAGAGUUUGAGCUCCAAAGACUAAGGUUACAGGUUCGAGUCCUGUCAUCGUCG